rfam:Salmo salar isolate Sally breed double haploid chromosome ssa10, whole genome shotgun sequence.
UGCAUUCAUUACUGUAAGUCACUCUGGAUAAGAGCGUCUGCUAAAUGAUUGUAU